rnacentral:misc_RNA from 1 species
CUCACCCAUGAAAGAUACCAUGGAAGCCAAAGUUUGCAGUCCGGCUGAAUGCAAACGUAGAGUUCUUUCACCAUCACCCACAUCUUGAGCCAAUUGACAGAGCUUAGGAAUGAUGCCUUCUAAGUUGAACAUGUGUGUGCUAUCCGUCUGGCUAUUUAUAAAGUCAACAAGAAUAUUGCAAGCCAGAAUCUGCAUUUCAUCCUGGCUAGUUUGGUCCAGAAGCGUCCGGACUAUCCCCAAUAAACUAC